rnacentral:rRNA from 1 species
GACAGAGGGUGCAAACGUUGUUCGGAAUUACUGGGCGUAAAGCGUGUGUAGGUGGCUGCGUAAGUCGGAUGUGAAAGCCCUGGGCUCAACUCAGGAAGUGCACCCGAUACUGCGUAGCUCGAGUACCGGAGAGGUUGGUAGAAUUCUCGGUGUAGAGGUGAAAUUCGUAGAUAUCGAGAGGAAUACCUGUGGCGAAGGCGGCCAACUGGACGAGUACUGACACUGAGACACGAAAGCGUGGGGAGCAAACAGG